rnacentral:rRNA from 1 species
GACGUAGGGCGCGAGCGUUGUCCGGAUUUAUUGGGCGUAAAGAGCUCGUAGGCGGCUCGUCGCGUCGACCGUGAAAACCCGCGGCUUAACUGCGGGCUUGCGGUUGAUACGGGCGGGCUAGAGUUCGGUAGGGGAGACUGGAAUUCCUGGUGUAGCGGUGAAAUGCGCAGAUAUCAGGAGGAACACCGAUGGCGAAGGCAGGUCUCUGGGCCGAUACUGACGCUGAGGAGCGAAAGCGUGGGGAGCGAACAGG